rnacentral:lncRNA from 1 species
CAGAUAAUACACACUAUGGGUUGUUUGUGAUCCCCAAUUAUUACUGAUGCUUGAAGCGGUACCUUUGUUUGCACCUGAAUACAGAUCCGUGCGUAUCUACCUCUUAAAGUAGCAGAGGUACACAUAUCUAUCUUUAGGAGUUUGCGAAUUCUUUUACCCACUUUUUCUAGAAUUUUAUUGUCAUAAAAUUUGGUGGGUAGACAUGGAUGUGACUUAUAUUUUUAUGUUAGCAGGAACAAAGUUGGGUUCCCAGUUCUGAACAGAUAGAAAAUGACCCAUGAUGAACCAUGAUCCUCCGUGUAGUGCACUGAUCAUAUUUUCUUCCUUCGCAAAUCUUACUAUAAAGAAGCCCUAUCCUAGAUCGAUAAGAAUGAACUGUUCCAUUGGGGUCCAGAGUUGUUGGAGCUUGGUCCGCAGGAGGUGGUGGGGGAUUUUUCUUCCAAACACCUUGAUGACAAACAAACAAUAACAACAUCCCAGUAUAGUCCCACAAGUCCAAUAUCAAGGAUCGAGAAUUUCCAUGGUUGGUGAAUUUUGAGUUUUUGCUCCUGCGACAGUGAGACCAUACUAAGGGGAAGGGGAUUUAAAAAUUAUAGAGAUUGGUUAGGCUUUCUCUCUCUAACACCUUCACGAACUGUGUUCCAUAUAUUUUCUUUGAACUUGGGGUUAGGGAUGUACUUUUUGUGACUAUAAAAGUAUCCCUUUAAAAAUAAAGUGAGAA